UACGUAGGGGGCUAGCGUUGUCCGGAAUCAUUGGGCGUAAAGCGCGUGUAGGCGGUUCGGUAAGUCCGCUGUGAAAGUCGGGGGCUCAACCCUCGAAUGCCGGUGGAUACUGUCGGACUAGAGUACGGAAGAGGCGAGUGGAAUUCCUGGUGUAGCGGUGAAAUGCGCAGAUAUUAGGAGGAACACCGGUGGCGAAGGCGCCGCUCUGGGCCGAAACUGACGCUGAGGAGCGAAAGCAUGGGUAGCAAACAGG
rnacentral:rRNA from 1 species